AGAGUUUGAUCCUGGCUCAGGAUGAACGCUAGCGGUAGGCCUAAUACAUGCAAGUCGCGCGAACACUUCGGUGUUAGCGGCGGACGGGUGCGUAACGCGUAUCUAACCUACCCUCUAGAGGGGGACAACAGCUGGAAACGGCUGCUAAUACCCCAUAACACAGCGGGUGCACAUGCACACAGUUGUUAAAGACUUCGGUCGCUGGAGGAUGGAGAUGCGUCUGAUUAGUUAGUUGGUGAGGUAACGGCUCACCAAGACGACGAUCAGUAGCUGGUCUGAGAGGAUGAUCAGCCACACUGGGACUGAGACACGGCCCAGACUCCUACGGGAGGCAGCAGUAGGGAAUAUUGGGCAAUGAGCGAAAGCUUGACCCAGCCAUACCGCGUGGGGGAAGACGGUCCACAGGAUUGUAAACCCCUUUUAUAUAGGAAUAAGGACCUAUUUGUUAGGUUUUGCAGGUACUAUACGAAUAAGCACCGGCAAAUUACGUGCCAGCAGCCGCGGUAAUACGUAGGGUGCAAGCGUUGUCCGGAUUUACUGGGUUUAAAGGAUCCGUAGGCGGGAGAAUCAGUCGGCGAUGAAAUCAGGUGGCUCAACCAUCUGGCUGUUGCCGAAACUGUUCUUCUUGAAUUAGAUUGAGGUGGCUGGAAUAGGCAGUGUAGCGGUGAAAUGCGUAGAGAUUGCCUA
rnacentral:rRNA from 1 species